GCAGUCGAGCGAACAGAAAAGGAGCUUGCUCCUUUGACGUUAGCGGCGGACGGGUGAGUAACACGUGGGCAACCUACCCUAUAGUUUGGGAUAACUCCGGGAAACCGGGGCUAAUACCGAAUAAUCUCUUUUACUUCAUGGUGAAAGACUGAAAGACGGCAUCUCGCUGUCGCUAUAGGAUGGGCCCGCGGCGCAUUAGCUAGUUGGUGAGGUAACGGCUCACCAAGGCGACGAUGCGUAGCCGACCUGAGAGGGUGAUCGGCCACACUGGGACUGAGACACGGCCCAGACUCCUACGGGAGGCAGCAGUAGGGAAUCUUCCACAAUGGGCGAAAGCCUGAUGGAGCAACGCCGCGUGAGUGAAGAAGGUUUUCGGAUCGUAAAACUCUGUUGUAAGGGAAGAACAAGUACAGUAGUAACUGGCUGUACCUUGACGGUACCUUAUUAGAAAGCCACGGCUAACUACGUGCCAGCAGCCGCGGUAAUACGUAGGUGGCAAGCGUUGUCCGGAAUUAUUGGGCGUAAAGCGCGCGCAGGCGGUCCUUUAAGUCUGAUGUGAAAGCCCACGGCUCAACCGUGGAGGGUCAUUGGAAACUGGGGGACUUGAGUGCAGAAGAGGAAAGUGGAAUUCCAAGUGUAGCGGUGAAAUGCGUAGAGAUUUGGAGGAACACCAGUGGCGAAGGCGACUUUCUGGUCUGUAACUGACGCUGAGGCGCGAAAGCGUGGGGAGCAAACAGGAUUAGACACCCUGGUAGUCCACGCCGUAAACGAUGAGUGCUAAGUGUUAGGGGGUUUCCGCC
rnacentral:rRNA from 1 species